UACAGAGGUCUCAAGCGUUGUUCGGAUUCAUUGGGCGUAAAGGGUGCGUAGGCGGCGCGGUAAGUCGGGUGUGAAAUCUCGGGGCUUAACUCCGAAACUGCAUUCGAUACUGCCGUGCUUGAGGACUGGAGAGGAGACUGGAAUUUACGGUGUAGCGGUGAAAUGCGUAGAUAUCGUAAGGAAGACCAGUGGCGAAGGCGGGUCUCUGGACAGUUCCUGACGCUGAGGCACGGAAGGCCCAGGGGAGCAAAACGGG
rnacentral:rRNA from 1 species